rnacentral:rRNA from 1 species
AUUGAACGCUGGCGGCAUGCUUUACACAUGCAAGUCGAACGGUAACAGGGAGCUUGCUCCGCUGACGAGUGGCGAACGGGUGAGUAAUAUAUCGGAACGUACCCAAGAGUGGGGGAUAACGUAGCGAAAGUUACGCUAAUACCGCAUACGAUCUAUGGAUGAAAGUGGGGAUCGCAAGACCUCAUGCUCCUGGAGCGGCCGAUAUCUGAUUAGCUAGUUGGUGAGGUAAAGGCUCACCAAGGCGACGAUCAGUAGCUGGUCUGAGAGGACGACCAGCCACACUGGAACUGAGACACGGUCCAGACUCCUACGGGAGGCAGCAGUGGGGAAUUUUGGACAAUGGGCGCAAGCCUGAUCCAGCAAUGCCGCGUGAGUGAAGAAGGCCUUCGGGUUUGUAAAGCUCUUUUGUCAGGGAAGAAACGGGACUAGCUAAUAUCUGGUCCUAAUGACGGUACCUGAAGAAUAAGCACCGGCUAACUACGU